rnacentral:rRNA from 1 species
UCGUCAUAAAAUGGUUGGAGGAAUGUAGCUUCGAUCUCGUAUUGAAGUGUUAUAGCCUUUGGCAGAUGUGAUGAUUGGGAUUGAGGAUUGCAACGAACCCUUCGGGGCUACCUGUCUGAUCUCUGAGAGUUGCUCUGGUGCUGAAAGCUUGCUUAUGGUAUCAAAGUUGACGUUCAAUAGGUUAGAACGGGAUAAGUUCGUUAAGGAUGUUGACGUAAUGGCUUUAAACGACCCGUCUUGAAACACGG